GGGUCGUUAGCUCAGUUGGUUAGAGCGCUUCCUUGACAUGGAAGAGGUCAGAGGUUCGAGUCCCCUACGACCCA
rnacentral:tRNA from 1 species